UCAAUAAAUCUGGUUUGCUGUCGUUGUGACAGCCUCUUGUUUUUUUGUGUGUUUGAAUGUUCUGAAAUUAAUCAAAGUCUUAUACAUAAUAUGUAUGGGUGAACUUGCAUAAGGUCGAUUGCAAUCCAACUCAGCUCAUAAAAUGUUUAAUUGUAUUCAAGUGAUCCUAUGAGUUCGAAUUGUUCUAAGUUCAUUUAAUAAAUGAAACUAUGUAAUGAUUUCUUUUUAUCUUAUUUGUCAUAUUUUACCUUUCAAAAUCACAUUCCUUAACAUAGAUUUAUAUCCUUAUAAAAUGUUAGUAGUACAUGUACAUGAUGUAUGCUACUGUUAUUGUUAAUCAAACAAUUGUUAUGCUAAAAUUUUUAUCUAAGUAUAUUUCAGAG
rnacentral:lncRNA from 1 species